GUGUCCCACUGACCGCCUAAAGGUGUCAAUAGUUGAGAGCGGCUCGUCCCUCCGAGCUCGUUUCUCUGCUCUGCUCUUCCUGCUCCAGGGUGAAUACAGAGACAUAUAUCUUCACUGCAGCCUCAGCCUGUGUAACCAGAGGAACUACAACUGUGUACCAUCGUGCACAAGUAGGGCACAUCGCUCUGUUUCCAACUCAGCUUUUAUGAAUCCCGUCACCAUUGGACCGAUCACUUUGGACAAGCCAGCUGAGUGAUCUGGAACAUCCAAUAACAUUCUGUAGUGUGAAAUUAACUGCCAGAACUCUGUUUUCAGAAGAGAGAUGAUUUAAAUAUAAUAUUCACAAAUAUUUUACACAUAUUUUUUUGAUAUUAUGUUCCAUUUGGGCUUUUUUUCAUUGUAUAACUGCAAACUGUCCAAAUAAGGUAUGCAUCCUAUUUGUAAAAACUAUACCUUGAUGCUAGAAUGUGAAACCAACUGGGUGAUAAACUGCAAAGCCACCAAGUAUCACAGUUCACACACUCUAAUCAUACCCUUUACAUUUCAUUGCACCGUAUGAAAAUUGCAGAGAAGGUAUUAAUUCAAUUCAAUGCAAUUUUAUUUAUAAAGUGCCGAAUCAGAACAACUGUUUCCUCAAGGUGCUUUAUGUUGUAAGGUAUAGACCCUACAAUAAUACAAAGAAAGCAGAGAAAACACCAACAAACAUAUGACCUCUAUGGCCAAGUGCUUUGGUGACAGUGGGAAGGAAAAACACACUUUUAACAGGAAGAAACCUCCACCAGUUUCUUUCUCUCGAGUCCGAACUGGAAGUUUGUUCCACAGAAGAAG
ensembl:lncRNA